GGGCAUGUGGUGUAAUUGGUUAUCACGUUCGCUUCGCAUGCGAAAGGUAUCCGGUUCAAUUCCGGACAUGUCCA
rnacentral:tRNA from 1 species